UCUGUAACCCCAGGAAAUGAGAAGGGGUUUUGUGACAGCAAACCUGUCCUUUUUGUGUAAGACGUGCUGAUGUCCUCCACUUUCAAGACUUCCACCAUAAAGAAUUAUUUUAGCAUGUGGAUAACAAAAACAAGCAACUCAUCAUCUAACACAGGAAGAAGGAAUGUGACUCCUUUUUUUGCAGACUCUUCCAGCCAGAAAGUGAGCCUCAAAUGAAGGAUAAAAUCUAGAGGUUAAAUGAAUUCAAAGGAAUCAACUAAAGUCUUGAAGGGCUUUUAGAAAUUCAGCUCAAAGUGUUCUUCAUAUAUUAGAGGUAGUAGGUUAGCACUGAAUUAUUUAAAAAUUCAGUUAGCUUCCUUUGCUUUAUCAACAAAUGUUAUUAAAUUUUAAUGAGUAAAAAUGCUGCAAUAAAACUAAGGAAGUCGGUUUUACUAGGAAAAUG
rnacentral:lncRNA from 1 species